GUACUCGCUUCGGUGGAACAUAUACUAAAAUUGGAACGAAACAAAGAAGAUUAGCAUGGCCCCUGCGCAAGGAUGACACGCAAAAUCGUGAAGCGUUCCGUAUUUUU
rnacentral:snRNA from 1 species